CAGAGGGUAGUUUAAAAAAUGUUAGAUUUGGGGUUUAAAGAUGGGAUAUAUAAUUCUUCCUCUGA
rnacentral:tRNA from 1 species